UACGGGGGGGGCAAGCGUUGUUCGGAAUUACUGGGCGUAAAGGGCUCGUAGGUGGCCAACUAAGUCAGACGUGAAAUCCCUCGGCUUAACCGGGGAACUGCGUCUGAUACUGGAUGGCUUGAGUUCGGGAGAGGGAUGCGGAAUUCCAGGUGUAGCGGUGAAAUGCGUAGAUAUUCGCAAGAACACCAGUGGCGAAGGCGGCUUACUGGUCCGGUUCUGACGCUGAGGCGCGAAAGCGUGGGGAGCAAACAGG
rnacentral:rRNA from 1 species